GGGCGUUUGGCACAGUGGUAGCGCGUACGCUUUGCACUCAGUUUGCGUAAGGUCCAGGGUUCAAGCCCCUGAACGUCCA